GGUAAAGGGAGAUUCUGGUGAUAGAAAACAAAAUAGGAAAGUAAAAGAAAACAGCAAUAUUAAGUAUGCAGUGCAAUAUGCCAAUUCUUAUUUACAAAACAACAAAACUGGACAAUAGCAGCUUCACACCCUUCUCUUCUUCCAAUUAACCCCACCACCAGGACCCAUGGUGGAAUCCUCCGAAUCACCGUCGAAGCGACGGCCGCCACAUGCCGGUGAUGACAGAAUUAGUCAGCUUCCGGACGUGCUGCUUCUCCAAAUCCUCUCUCUUCUUCCAACCAAACAGGCAGUGGUCACUGGCAUUCUCGCGAAGCGGUGGCGGCCACUGUGGCCGGCCGUGUCGGUCCUCGACCUCGACGACGAGUCCUCUCCGGAGUCCCGCCUCGGUCCCGCGGGCUUCGCGGAGUUUGUGUACUCGGUGCUUCUACUGCACGACGCGCCGGCAAUCCAGCGGUUCCGGCUCCGUUGUGCGAAUCCGAACUCCUCCGCGCGCGACAUCGCGACGUGGCUGUGUCAUGUGGCGCGGCGGAGGGUGGAGAGCGUGGAGCUCUCGCUUUCGCUGUCGCGCUACGUGGCGCUCCCGCGGCGCCUCUUCAACUGCGACACUGUUUCAGCCAUGAAGCUCAACGGCGUGUUCUUCAACGCGCUCGCCUCGUUCUCCGUGCGCUUGCCUCUGCUGAGGGCUUUGCACGUGGGGGAUAGGGUUCUGUUCGGGUGCCACGAUUACGUGGUGAAGCUUCUUGCUGGGUGCCCCGCGCUGGAGGACUUGGUGCUGGAAUCCACUUACAACGAUGCUUGCGGAGGUGUCGUUUGUGCCGAGGGCAAUUUCGAGCUUAGUUUGAAACACUUGACGCGUGCGAAAAUUGGGUUUUCGUGGAAGGAGAGGUGCCUGAAGUCCAUGCUUCUCAUUUUCCAAGCGCUUUCUCACGUUAGGUGCCUCUCGCUUUCUCCCUGUACAGUUGCGUUUAAGUCUAUGACAGAUCUGCAAAAUGGGAAAUCUCUGAAGUCAGUUCAAAUUGAUCAGAGGCAAGUGGAGAGUGCAGACACUUCACCCAUUGGCUUUCUUGGCUGGGUAUCACCUGUAGACUUAUCUCCAUACCCAUCACCAGAAUGGUCAAUUGAAACAGAUUUCACAUUUUUAAUGCCUAACUAACAUUAUGUUUUAGGAUUAUGCUGUCCCAGCAGCCACCUUUCUUAUCAAACAGAGUCUUGCAGCAUCCUUGGGCAAUCAAAUUCCAUUUAGAAUGCUUACAACUCAGAUUCCGGAUUUCAAUUCACCAGUGCUCGUUAUCCUUUCUUGUUAACUUUUCAAGUCCUUCAAAUUUGAACUCAGAUGAAAGGGCCGCAUAUUUAUUAGUGUUUGAAGCACGCUUCUGCCAUUGAUAUUCCGGUGUUUGACAAAUUAACCCAGCUGGAAAUUUCAUUUGGAAGCUAUUCAUGGGAUUUGUUAGCAAACUUGCUUCAACGUUCCCACAAGCUGGAAGUUCUUAUCAU